rnacentral:rRNA from 1 species
AGAGUUUGAUCCUGGCUCAGAUUGAACGCUGGCGGCAUGCCUUACACAUGCAAGUCGAACGGCAGCACGGGAGCAAUCCUGGUGGCGAGUGGCGAACGGGUGAGUAACAUAUCGGAACGUGCCCAGUAGUGGGGGAUAGCCCGGCGAAAGCCGGAUUAAUACCGCAUACGACCUACGGGUGAAAGCGGGGGAUCGCAAGACCUCGCGCUAUUGGAGCGGCCGAUAUCAGAUUAGCUAGUUGGCGGGGUAAAGGCCCACCAAGGCGACGAUCUGUAGCUGGUCUGAGAGGACGACCAGCCACACUGGGACUGAGACACGGCCCAGACUCCUACGGGAGGCAGCAGUGGGGAAUUUUGGACAAUGGGCGCAAGCCUGAUCCAGCCAUGCCGCGUGUGGGAAGAAGGCCUUCGGGUUGUAAACCACUUUUGUCAGGGAAGAAACGGUUGGAUCUAAUACAUUCGACUAAUGACGGUACCUGAAGAAUAAGCACCGGCUAACUACGUGCCAGCAGCCGCGGUAAUACGUAGGGUGCAAGCGUUAAUCGGAAUUACUGGGCGUAAAGCGUGCGCAGGCGGCUUUGCAAGACAGAUGUGAAAUCCCCGGGCUCAACCUGGGAACUGCAUUUGUGACUGCAAGGCUAGAGUACGGUAGAGGGGGAUGGAAUUCCGCGUGUAGCAGUGAAAUGCGUAGAUAUGCGGAGGAACACCGAUGGCGAAGGCAAUCCCCUGGACCUGUACUGACGCUCAUGCACGAAAGCGUGGGGAGUAAACAGGAUUAGAUAUCCUGGUAGUCCACGCCCUAAACGAUGUCAACUGGUUGUUGGACGGCUUGCUGUUCAGUAACGAAGCUAACGCGUGAAGUUGACCGCCUGGGGAGUACGGCCGCAAGGUUGAAACUCAAAGGAAUCGACGGGGACCCGCACAAGCGGUGGAUGAUGUGGUUUAAUUUGAUUCAAUGUGAAAAAUUUUACCUACCCUUGACAUGUCUAGAAGUUACCAGAGAUGGUUUCGUGCUCGAAAGAGAACUAGAACAUAGGUGCUGCAUGGCCGUCGUCAGCUCGUGUCGUGAGAUGUUGGGUUAAGUCCCGCAACGAGCGCAACCCUUAUCAUUAGUUGCUAUGUAAGGGCACUCUAAUGAGACUGCCGGUGAUAAACCGGAGGAAGGUGGGGAUGACGUCAGGUCAUCAUGGCCCUUAUGGGUAGGGCUACACACGUCAUACAAUGGCCGGUAUAGAGGGUUGCUAACCCGUGAGGGGGAGCUAAUCUUAGAAAACCGGUCGUAGUCCGGAUCGCAGUCUGUAAUUUGACUGCGUGAAGUCGGAAUCGCUAGUAAUCGCGGAUAGCUUGCCGCGGUGAAUACGUUCCCGGGUCUUGUACACACCGCCCGUCACACCAUGGGAGCGGGUUCUGCCAGAAGUAGUUAGCCUAACCGUAAGGAGGGCGAUUACCACGGCAGGGUUCGUGAUUGGGGUGAAGUCGGAACAAGGUA